GUGUCAGCCGCCGCGGUAAUACGGAGGGUGCGAGCGUUAAUCGGAAUUACUGGGCGUAAAGCGUACGCAGGCGGUUUGUUAAGCGAGAUGUGAAAGCCCCGGGCUCAACCUGGGAACUGCAUUUCGAACUGGCAAACUAGAGUGUGAUAGAGGGUGGUAGAAUUUCAGGUGUAGCGGUGAAAUGCGUAGAGAUCUGAAGGAAUACCGAUGGCGAAGGCAGCCACCUGGGUCAACACUGACGCUCAUGUACGAAAGCGUGGGGAGCAAACAGGAUUAGAUACCCCCGUAGUCC
rnacentral:rRNA from 1 species